AAUAAUAAUGAUUUGACCCCUCAAACUUUUAUAAUUAUUUCGAUUACGUCCUUGUUUGUUUUAAUUUCUUGAAUAUGGGUUGUUUACUUUCAUUUAAAUGCUUUAAUUGUUCAAUUUCAUAUUUAUUCCCAUCUUUUAUGAUUAUUUGUUAAUUAAAGUGGUACCUUAAUCAUUUUCUUUGUGUUGGAGGGUAAAAAGAGAGAAACUUCACUUCAUUAGGUCACCAAUUCAAGGGAGGUAUACUCUACUCUUUAUUUUAAUCUUACUUGAUCCUAUGUGCCCCUAUGUGACUUUAUGUGCGUAAUUGCAUGCCUUUUUGAAUGUUUUAUUUCAUUUAUUUUUUUAGUCACUUUAAUUGUUUUGAUUUAGUAUAUUUAUUUUAAUUUAAUGUUUGAUUAUUUAAGGGGCAUUUAAAUGCCAAAUUGUAAUAGUUAGGGGGUUCAAGACAUGUAUUUAGAUAGAGUAUAUAAUAGUUAGGUAUUUAUUUUAUUAUUUAUUUUAUUCCUUCCCCCUUUAGGGCCCCACAUGUAAUAGUUAGGUCUUUAUUUGCUUUGUGUGUUUUGUAUGCUUAUAUGUUUAUGUGUUACUCGCUUUCUUAGGGUCUUGCAUCUAGAUAUCAUGUUUAUGUGCUAUGUGCACUAUGUGACUUAUGUGUUUACUUGCUUUUUAUUAGUUUUAUAUGAUUUGUUUAGUUCUAAUAAAUGUAUGAUGUCACUACACUAGUCCAACGCUAGUUGUGGCCCUUUGUUCCGAUUUCUCACUUGUCCAACGCUAGACCCUUAGGGACCACCCGCGCGCUAGAUCAUGUCUAUGUGAUAAUCACUACAUUUGCAUGCAUAUUUUCUACCUUUUAGGAUUUUUAUCAUUUUGCACAUUUCCCUUAUAUGUACAUCCCUUAUCUCAUACUCCCCCUAUAUAUCCCUUAUCCCAUAUCUCCCCUAUAUAUAUCCCUUAUUACCAUGUGCGACACAUAACAUGUAGGUUUGUAUUCCAUUUAAGAAAAUUAGAACUAAGUUAGAUCAUUUGCUUGAUUAGAUAGGAGAAAUACCCCUCGAAUACGGGAUAUAGAUGAGUAUGGCUUUCUAGCCUUAGCACGCUCGUAUUCCUUCUAUAAAAGGGAAAAUUGAGUCACGAACGUUAACUCCCAUACCCAUUAUGAUGCAUUCCCUUAGGUCAUGGAUAUUUGUAUAUUAUUAUUAUUUUCUUUCUUCGAAUCUCAUUUUGUUGCAUAUUCGUGACCUUUUCGAAGAAUCACUUUUGUGCGUCGCAAUUAAUACGAUUUGCACCAAUUAAAAUUCAAAGAGACAUAUUGACCCUUCUGAUAACCAUUAGGUUUGCAUUCAUAUAGUAACAUCCAAUUGUGAUAAGUUUUUAGGUUAAAAUUAAGAAAAUUUUUGACUAAAUCACGCAACUAGCCUUGGUUUGGUUGAAAGGGUGCCUUGGAUUUUAUCCUUGCAUUUCCUUUCUUCAACCGUGACUCCCGACCCCUUUUCUCUUGAUUCGCAGACUUGGAGUCGUUUAAAAAGGGUUUUCUCUACUUUUCAUUUAAAAUUCAUUUUUAGGUGACUUGGUACACCUUAACUCAAUACCAAGUGGCGACUCCUUUUUUUCAUUAAAACCCCUUUUUAAACUAUUAUUUUUGGGUCAAAAUCGUCAAACUUUUUAAGUCCCAUUUAGGCCCAUUUUCUUUAUUUAUUUUCUAAUAAUCAAAAACUCAUUUUCACUCAAAAUUAAUCAAAAACUCAUUUUAUAAACCCGUUAUUUUAUUUUUCUUUCAAAAAAUGGGGCACCACAAUAAGGAAUAUUGUUCCUAUAUUAUUGCUACUAACUAUUUGUAUUGUGAAAAAUAUGUCUUAGACCAAGAUAUAAGAUUUAUGCCCUUGCAUGAUCACAGCUCAUAUUCUUCUUCAACAGUCCGAAAGCAUAAUGUUGCGAAAAAUUAGGCAGUACUUUUGGCACAUAAAUUAGAUGAUAUGCAGAUGAUUGAACUAUUUCAUCCGCCAUGACUCCAUCUGGUUUUGUCUGGUUGAAAACAUAAAACUUAGUGCUGAUUGAGAAGCAAUCAAACUUUCUUUUUAAUUUCAUCGAAUAUUUUCCUUGUUUUUGGGAUUAAUGGUGGUGUCUAUUUCUUUAGGAUUUUAAUUGCUUUUCUAGUUUGGAUUAUUUGGUGGUGCGUUUAGCCUCUUAUUUAUAGUGUUCACUUCUUCUUUCAGGAUGGUAGGAUGGGUUCUUGAGUUAGACUAUUGGAUGGUAACUGACAACUUUCCUCCCACUCCACUUGGUCUUUGGUACUUCAUUUGUUAUCAGGGAAGUUUCACUUUCAACUAUUUUCUUGAUAUUAUUAGUUUUUUGUUUUAUCUCUAACAUUGAGGACAAUAUUGUUUUAAGUGCGGAGGAGGAGUAAAUGGCCGAAGUGAAAGCCUUAAUUUUUUUGUUAAAUUUUUCAUAAUUUUUGUUCUUAUUGUUGAUUUCCUCAUAGGUAAUUGCUUAUAUUUUAAGUAUUAUUAUUGUUGAAGUGCUAUAUUCAUGAUAUGCUAAGUGUUGAAUGGUGUUGCUUUAGAGCACUUCUUUGGUG
rnacentral:lncRNA from 1 species